CAAUACCAACACCAAGACCAGAACCAACACUAUCACCAGCACCAACAGCAGUUCCAGCACCAGCAACAGAAGACCCAUCACCAGCUCCAGGUCCAUCAUCAGCAUCAGCAACAGAGGCCCUGGGCCACUCUGUCAUUCCAAAAGGACUUGUGGAGCGCUGCUCCUUCCAAAGCCCCCAGAAGUUCAUAAAUGAUCUCCUACAUGGGAUGUAUACCAGGGAAUAUAUGGGAGGCCAUUCAGUGACUGGCCAGUCAUCCAGCAGCUGCACAGAAGGAAAACCUGGCCUAGCCAAACAGGACCUUGUUGAAAUAACAAAUGCUGCAAAGUUGAAGUUCACCUACGUAACUGAUACGAACAUAAAAGCAUUUAUACGACAAAAGCUGAACAAUACUGCCAAAUUUCAGAAACAAUAAAUUAUCAAC